rnacentral:rRNA from 1 species
ACCCGGAGUUCAGGCAAGGUUCCC